rnacentral:misc_RNA from 1 species
UCCGAGUUGACCCCGGCAGUCUCCUAUGAGUCCCCGGCAUUACCCGCUGGCAACAUAGGACGAGGGUUGCGCUCGUUGCGGGACUUAACCCAACAUCUCACGACACGAGCUGACGACAACCAUGCACCACCUGUGCGCAGCCCUUGCGGACCCGACAUCUCUGCCGGAUUUCUGCACAUGUCAAGCCUAGGUAAGGUUCUUCGCGUUGCCUCGAAUUAAGCCACAUGCUCCGCCGCUUGUGCGGGCCCCCGUCAAUUCCUUUGAGUUUUAGCCUUGCGGCCGUACUCCCCAGGCGGGGCGCUUAAUGCGUUAGCUGCGGCACGGAGGCCGUGGAAGGACCCCCACACCUAGCGCCCAACGUUUACGGCGUGGACUAC